UACAGAGGUGGUAAGCGUUGUUCGGAAUUACUGGGCGUAAAGGGCUCGUAGGUGGCCAAUUAAGUCAGACGUGAAAUCCCCAGGCUUAACCUGGGAACUGCGUCCGAUACUGGUUGGCUUGAAUCCGGGAGAGGGAUGUGGAAUUCCAGGUGUAGCGGUGAAAUGCGUAGAUAUCUGGAGGAACACCGGUGGCGAAGGCGACAUCCUGGACCGGUAUUGACGCUGAGGCGCGAAAGCCAGGGGAGCAAACGGG
rnacentral:rRNA from 1 species